rnacentral:lncRNA from 1 species
AAAUUCAUCAACAUUAUUCCAGUUUAUUAACAUAUUAGAAGCAUCAUAAACAUUAAGGACGACAGUAAAAUCACCAGCGAUUAACCACGGAAGCCCACCUGCUUUCUCUAGCUAAUAUCUUCAAAUAUAUUCUUCCUUUUCUCAGCCAAGGUAGAGGCAUAAAAAAAGUACAGCAAAUCGAAUUGAGAAUAUCAAUCUCAACAUAAAUGCACUGGCUGGACUUUCACAAAAUACUGAGAGAAAUAUUAUUCUUCCAAACCAACCAAAUCUUCCCAAGAUCUCCAUGAAAAUAGAGAUCAGAGCACCACACUUUAAAUCAACAAGUUACUAAAUCAUUAAUAUAUACCCUUUUAUUCUAAGUUCAAGAAUAGCGCAAACAUAUAUGUUAUGCUUGUGUAAGUAAGAAAGUAAUUUAAUAUACCUACUAUAUUUAUUAAAACCUCGAAUAUUCCAUACCCAAAACUUCAUUUACGUAUAUGUUGUUGUUGUCCCAACACUUUGACCCCGACCUCCUCUGCCACAUUCUUUUUAUGUACAGGCAUAACUUUUCACUUGAUAGAAAAUCUCCAAAAUAGCAGGAGUUGGGUUCGUAAGUCCUCCUCAUCCAAUUCCUCAAUUUCAGGAGAGAUGAUAUCAUGACACUUCUCUAAUUCAGCAACAGGAGUCACAGGACUCGAGUAAGCUUUCUUUACCUCUGGCCCAGGAUUGCUUCCAACACUUCAAUCAUGUCCUGCACUUCAUUCUCAUUACUUAUAUUUACCUCCUUCACUUCAUUAGAAAUCUCUGGAAUAACACAAAUAGUAUCAUCUAGAAUUCCAAAAGAGUUUGGAUGAGACAAAAUAUCGACGAAAAACCAUCAAUAUUAUUUGUAGAGCUGUUUGCAACAACCAACUGUAACUGACUCUCAACUGAGUGAACAUCAUCAGCAACCUCCUUCCCUUUUAUAUCUUUAGGAGAGUCAACAUCAUCAGCAACUUCCUUCCCCUUUAUCUUUUAGGAAAGACAAUCUGCACUGACUUUUCAUGUUUCCUCCUCUACUAAGGAACAUACUUCUCAUUAAUUUUGAUUUUAAAACUAACAAUUGGGAUCAGGAUACACUCUCCAUCUUCCAGAAUAACUACAACCGAUUCAGGACAAGGUUUACUAAGUAAGACACAAACCUUAACAUCUAAUCCAUCAUGUAUAUAGCCGCCUACAGUGUGACCAACCUGACUAACAAUCCAAUCUAAACCUUUAGGAUAAAGAAGCGGCAUAUGGACAAAUUUAAGCGUGAUCCAAAUAGACUUCUCUUGAAUUUCAUUUUCCCACUUUCGAAGCAGGGUCAUAGAAUAAUGAAUAUUCCAAGGGCGAGCAAUAACCCAAUCGCAAAGAUUAACUAAGGGGAAUUCAAUUACAAAAAAUCCUUUCGAAACUUUUGAAAUCUAGACAUUACCUUCAUAUCCUCAGAAACGAUUUGCCAUAACAGCAAAAACUCUCAUCGGCGAAAUUGGACCCAUAAAUUGAGCAACGAGAGCGGUCUUCAUUCGCUACUGACCACUUUUCAAGGAAUUUUCAAAGCUCAGUCAACAAAACAGUCAUUCGUGAGCUCAAUGAAUUUCAAAUCAAGACGGGUAACAAUGGAGGCCUAAGUUUUUUAUGGGGAAGUCGAUGAAAAUGGAGAAAUGGAGGUAUCAAUAGGUGGUGAAUCAGACAUCAACAGUCAAACAAAAUCAAGCAACACAAAGGGAUCCAGAAAUCAAACGAUUCGCCGGCAAAAAAAUCCAUCGAGAGAGCUCCAAAAGAGCACACCCAC